CCGGUACUCAGUUCGGAUCGCAGUCUGCAACUCGACUGCGUGAAGGUGGAGUCGCUAGUAAUCGCGGAUCAGCAACGCCGCGGUGAAUGCGUUCCCGGGCCUUGUACACACCGCCCGUCACACCAUGAGAGUCGGGAACACCCGAAGUCCGUAGUCUAACCGCAAGGGGGCGCGGCCGAAGGUGGGUCCGGUAAUUGGGGUGAAGUCGUAACAAGGUAAC
rnacentral:rRNA from 1 species